GCCUCAGUGGUGUAGGGGUAGAGCACGCAUCACCGGAAAGGAUGAAACGCGGGUUCGAUUCCCGCCUGAGGCC